rnacentral:rRNA from 1 species
UGGGGAAUUUUGGACAAUGGGCGAAAGCCUGAUCCAGCAAUGCCGCGUGUGUGAAGAAGGCCUUCGGGUUGUAAAGCACUUUUGUCCGGAAAGAAAUCCUUGGCUCUAAUACAGUCGGGGGAUGACGGUACCGGAAGAAUAAGCACCGGCUAACUACGUGCCAGCAGCCGCGGUAAUACGUAGGGUGCAAGCGCUAAUCGGAAUUACUGGGCGUAAAGCGUGCGCAGGCGGUUUGCUAAGACCGAUGUGAAAUCCCCGGGCUCAACCUGGGAACUGCAUUGGUGACUGGCAGGCUAGAGUAUGGCAGAGGGGGGUAGAAUUCCACGUGUAGCAGUGAAAUGCGUAGAGAUGUGGAGGAAUACCGAUGGCGAAGGCAGCCCCCUGGGCCAAUACUGACGCUCAUGCACGAAAGCGUGGGGAGCAAACAGGAUUAGAUACCCUGGUAGUCCACGCCCUAAACGAUGUCAACUAGUUGUUGGGGAUUCAUUUCCUUAGUAACGUAGCUAACGCGUGAAGUUGACCGCCUGGGGAGUACGGUCGCAAGAUUAAAACUCAAAGGAAUUGACGGGGUCAUA